CAAACCACCAUCUGCGAAACGAGCACAGAGACGGAGUGAGGAGGACGACCACCGGCAACAUCCACCCCACCACUGGCGACUCCCACAAGCCUCACCCUCCACUUCCGGCGACCACCACCAGUUUCACCCUCCACUUCCGGCGACCACCACCAGCAAGAAAAAUCUCCUGGGCCCAACAACGACACCACCACCGGCGCCCUUUCCGACAACCAAGUAUGGAUUUCCUAUAUAUUCCGCAAAGGCCGUGCGAUUUCGAAUGUGAGAUCCCUGGUCUCCUAUUGGAAUAGGAAAUGAUUCAGGAGAUGAAUUUGACGCUGGUAAUGAGUCCACUGACAGCCCUUUCAUAUGGACAUAUACUUCACUAGAAUUCCCAAUGGCUCAGGAGAAUUGACUGCAAAAGUUCAAGCUUCCAAAACCUGUUCUUUGCAUAGGUGGAAUUGUGCAAGUAGAGCUGUUGGGUAGGGUGCAGAAAUAAGAAAUGGACAGUUUAUACUACAUAUGUUUACUGGAGCUACCACUUUAUUGCUCAUGCAUCAAAUGCGUCUUAUCAGCAUUGGCAGCAGAUGGGUGGAGUAAGCAUUGGAGAUCCAAUAGUUGUGGAACUGCUCGAGGGCAUGGAAUGCUAUAAGAUGGAAAGAGAAUUAGGUUUCCGCAACUCAAACAAAGAAGUAAAGAUGCUGAAUCAUUUGGUGGCAAAGAAGAGUAGAAUGAUUUGAUAGCAAAAAAAAUGGAGAUGUAAUUAGUAGGCCUAUUUGUCCUACAAUUGAAAUACUAGAAUGUAGUCUAUUUUUGUUUUGCAAAUGAGGUUUAAACCAUUAGAGAGGAGAAUGUAAUCUUAUUUAUUUGGAUGUAAAUGAUAAUUAGCA